rnacentral:lncRNA from 1 species
CACCGUAGGCAAAACCAAUAAAAGCUUUCAUUGUCUACUUUUAACCUCACAGCCGAUCAUGAUUAAAUAUGACUAGCGAUUAUGAUUAAAUAUGACUAGCAAUUAAUGAAGAGUGAACUGAUGUGUAGAAGUUUUAUUGGCUUUGUCUACAGUAGUACGAGCCUAUUUAAUAAUUUCUGAAUACUGGGGGUAAUGUACGUUAUAGCCACGAUGCCGCAGGAG